AUCUCUCAGGAGAUUCCUACCUACUGGAGGUCUUUCAAAGGAAAUGAUACUCCUGUUUCUGAAUGUAAAACAGAAUCCAGCAUGAAAAAGGCAAUAAUACAGACGGGUUUUGUUGCCAACAGAAUCUGCACAAGUGUCGGGGCUGGCUGAUUGCUUGGGCAGAGCGCUUUGGAGAGCAGCAGGAGUGUGCUUAGAGAGCAGUGAUGGCUCAUGGACAAGUGGCUGAGACCACCUCUUAAAAUCCAUGUCCUUGACAGCUGAGACUCUCUACUGGCUUAAUGACACACUGGAACUGCAUCUCGAGGAAGAGGCACACUGGCCAGUUUCCCCUCCCCCAUGUCCAACACAUGCUUGCUUUGAAGAUACCAGCUUUCUUUAUUCAUAUUCUUACAGGAGUAAUUAAGAAUUACCGUUACUCAGACCGUUUGACUGAAAUGAUUCAAUAAAUGUCACUAAAAGAAGAUAAUACUACUUACCUUGACAGCUCUAGGCACUGCCACCUUACAAACAUUCCUACCAAAACUGAGCCAUGUUGCUGGUCGUGAUGGGCUUGUUGGAUACCUCACAUCCAGGCCAGUGGGCAAGGAGUGCCAAUGUCCUGGUUCCCACUGUCAUGACAACAACCUGAUGCUAUGAUGCAUCUUUCUUUAUUGACAGCAUAAUAUACAUGUGAAAGAAGGGCAGAGUGGAACAGCACCUUCUGUCUGUGCACCUUCCAGGCAGUCCCAUGGCACUCAGUUACCCAAUUGGUAUUUGCCCAAUAAAAGUGGCCCUGAUGCCCACAUCACUAAGCUCUCAGUGAAGGUGUCAAAGGGAGGCUGUGUGUGACCAGUAGCAGCCACAAUAAAAAUAAAUCAAGCAACCAAAACCAUGUACACAAAGGAACCCAUCUGGUUGCGCAUAGCCAGCUGCCUCAUGGCAUUGAAUGCCACUUGGGCUCAUCUAUCCCUGGAGAGGCUGCUGCUUAAUCAGAGCAUCUCAAAGGGAGACCUCACGUCUGUCCCUCCCUCCCUGUUCUCCUCCUUCCCAUUUUGUCUGAACAUGAGUAAAUGGUCAGAUGCUAUUCUCAGUUCUAAAUACCAGUAAAAGCUCCAUGAAAGCCUGUUUGCCCACCGUCCCUUCCCCCUCCCAAACCCUUUUGUCUUCAAAGCCCUUGCAUCGCUCUGCUCCCAUGUGUGCCAAGAGCAGCCAGCCCUCUGCUUCUGGCCCAUGGGACUGAAGGCAGGGGUGGGUGUGGAGUAGCGUGUGCAUGUCAGAGCAUGAGCAUACGUGAAUAGGACCAGCUGGCCUCUCCUGUGCCCAUUUCCCUAUCAUUUCCAUCUGACAUUCCCUGCUCAUUGUGAUUUUGCAGGCAACAUUCACUAGCACAAAAAGACUAGGGAGCAGGCAAGUGCACAGAUAUUUAAAGGGAAAAGCUUUAUUUCUCGUUUUCUUAGAUCAUAGUGGACUGUAAAACAACAGGGAACAAGGAGAUCAACCUUUAAUAAGCGUAUUUUCUUUUCUUUUCUUUCCUUUCUUUCUUGUCAGUUAAGCUUCCUUUCUUUUGUAUAAUUCAAAACAGAACAAACAACCAGGAAAUAUUUGUCACAAAAACAUGCUUUUUAAUAAAAAAGAGAAUAACGUUUAUUGAGAGGGAUUGUUUUCUGGAUAUGUACAAUAAUAAUGCAGGAGGAUUAUGCUAACAGAAAAUGCCAAACAUCAUGACUUGAUUUCCAAAGUGUGAACGGUCCAAAAAGCAAUGGCCUUAGAGCAACGUCUAAGUCAACAGGAACAAGUGAACAGUGGUUUAAGGUUUCUUACAACAAAUUACCAGCCAUUAUGACUGAAGACCUGACACAUCAUAAUAACCUGCAUUGAGAUGUACAGAAAUCCAUAAGACAACAUAGAACUUACACAAGAAGGUAACCAUUUGCGUAAGAAUUUCCUCCAGAAAAUGGAAGCGUGUUCUAGACAGAUAAAUUUGGAAAAAGAAGGGAAAAAAAUGAAAAAAAAAAAAAGGUAGGAAAAUAC